rnacentral:rRNA from 1 species
GGAGGAUCCAAGCGUUAUCCGGAUUUAUUGGGUUUAAAGGGUGCGUAGGCGGUUUGAUAAGUUAGAGGUGAAAUACCGGGGCUCAACUCCGGAACUGCCUCUAAUACUGUUGAACUAGAGAGUAGUUGCGGUAGGCGGAAUGUAUGGUGUAGCGGUGAAAUGCUUAGAGAUCAUACAGAACACCGAUUGCGAAGGCAGCUUACCAAACUAUAUCUGACGUUGAGGCACGAAAGCGUGGGGAGCAAACAGGAUUAGAUACCCUGGUAGUCCACGCAGUAAACGAUGAUAACUCGUUGUCGGCAAUACACAGUCGGUGACUAAGCGAAAGCGAUAAGUUAUCCACCUGGGGAGUACGUUCGCAAGAAUGAAACUCAAAGGAAUUGACGGGAACUCAGCAGCCGCGGUAAUACG